ACUUUUAUGAAAUUAAUGAUUUUACUGAAUCUACACUAAAUCCUGUUGUUAAUCAGACAGUUUUAAUUAAUGUGACUAUUUAUUUUUGUUUAUAUUUAUUACACAACAUUGUCCAGUUUAUCAGACAAGUUUUGAUGUCAGUUGUAUUAUUCCAGGGUUAUGGAUGGACAGCAUUAAUGUGGGCAGCCAGGGAGGACAUGUGGAAGUGUCUCGACUACUUCUGGAGAACAGAUGUAACAAAGAUAUCACAGAUGU
rnacentral:lncRNA from 1 species